rnacentral:rRNA from 1 species
CACGUAGGGUCCGAGCGUUGUCCGGAUUUAUUGGGCGUAAAGGGCCCGUAGGCGGCUUGGUAAGUCGGGUGUGAAAACCCCAGGCUCAACCUGGGGACGCCACCCGAUACUGCCAUGGCUUGAGUCUGGUAGGGGAGUGCGGAAUUCCUGGUGUAGCGGUGAAAUGCAUAGAUAUCAGGAGGAACACCGGUGGCGAAGGCGGCACUCUGGGCCAGUACUGACGCUGAUGGGCGAAAGCGUGGGGAGCAAACAGG